GGCGUAGGCGGUAUGCCAAGUCAGGGGUGAAAGGCCCGGGCUCAACCCAGGAACUGCCUUUGAAACUGGCAAACUAGAGUCCGAAAGAGGAUGGCGGAAUUCCCAGUGUAGAGGUGAAAUUCGUAGAUAUUGGGAAGAACACCAGUGGCGAAGGCGGCCAUCUGGAUCGGAACUGACGCUGAGGCGCGAAAGCGUGGGGAGCAAACA
rnacentral:rRNA from 1 species